rnacentral:rRNA from 1 species
AAUGAACGCUGGCGGCGCGCCUAAUACAUGCAAGUCGAGCGAGAAGACGUAGCAAUACGUUUGUAAAGCGGCGAACGGGUGAGGAAUACAUGGGUAACCUACCCUCGAGUGGGGAAUAACUAGCCGAAAGGUUAGCUAAUACCGCGUACGCUCCUUGGACUUCGGUUCAGGGAGGAAAGCGAUACCGUGGGUAUCGCGCUCUUGGUUGGGCUCAUGUCCUAUCAGCUUGUUGGGAGGUAACGGCUCACCAAGGCUUCGACGGGUAGCUGGUCUGAGAGGACGAUCAGCCACACUGGCACUGCGACACGGGCCAGACUCCUACGGGAGGCAGCAGUAAGGAAUAUUGCGCAA